rnacentral:lncRNA from 12 species
AUGAACAGAGGCGGCUCCAUCCCAUUUCUGCUCAUUUCCCAGUGCGGUUACCUGGGGGCACGCCCCGGGGCCGCUGGCCCUCACCACAGGCCCGCCCCACACCCCCCGGGCGUCUUCCCUCCCGCCACCCUUGGCACCGCCUUGGGUUCCGAGCAGGAGGGGUGGGCAGGGGCUCCUCCUGGCAUUCACCCCCUCCUGCCCACCUGUCGUCUCCAUCAGCUCCAGGGAGCUCCGCACGGCCCUGGGCCAGGGUCACACUACGUAUCCACGGGAUCCCCAGAACCGGCCGCUGUUGAGACACUGGCCAGGAAGGGGGAGUGGGACGGGCAGCACCAGAACCCUGUCCUUCCCCGCGGACCCCGGGGCUCCAGAGGGGCCACGGGAUCCGGGGGCCCGGCGUCCCCCUUCCUCCCGCUUCCACCCCUCAGGCCAUCGCGCCCAGCACCCUCCCCGCCUCCCUGGCACAAGGAGCACACGGCGGAGCCCUACAGAGUGAAUCCAGGCCCUGUCGCCAGUCCUCUGGCAGAUGUCGGGGCCCCGGGGUCCUCGGCCUGUCCCCGGCCACCUGGAGAAAUCGUGGCGCUCCUGCCCAUCCCCAUCCAGCCAGGGGUCCCUCGCGUGCCCCAGGCUCUUGGGACGGUGACAGGUGGACGGAAGCGGGCACGCCGAGCAUCAACAAGCAGAACCUUCCAGACAGGUCUGCCCAGGAGUCAUCCGGAGCCACGAGGGGCAGGCAGCCGGCGGCCUUGCUCCCUGUGACGUGCCCCGACGGCCCCACCCUCUUUCCUGCUCACAUCCGGGGAGUCUGACCCCAAACGGGGUCCUUGAAGCCACACAGCAGAAGCCCUUGCUGGGGGCGCGCCCGGAGGCUGGGGCCAGCGGAGCCUCCGCAGUCCCGUGGGAGCCGACACCGCCGGCCUCCAGGCCAGGCCAGUCCCUUCGACCUGUCCCGGCAAGGGUCACCAGGCCCGUCACUGACGGGAGCCCCGGGACAGGGCACGGGGGAGGGCUGACUCCUGCAGCCCCAGGCCCCCACUCGCGCACCCCCUCAACGUCUCCCGUUAGCGGGCCCCACGCUGACAGCAGGGCCGGGCGGCAGCCGCGGAGCCUCCGAGGGGCUGGUGGGGGGUGGAACUGGCGGGGGAAAAUGUACUUUGUAAUAAAGCUGUUCAUAAAAGGGAAAUGCCA